UACGGAGGGAGCUAGCGUUAAUCGGAAUUACUGGGCGUAAAGCGCGCGUAGGUGGUUCGUUAAGUUGGAUGUGAAAGCCCCCGGGCUCAACCUGGGAACUGCAUCCAAAACUGGCGAGCUAGAGUGUGGCAGAGGGUGGUGGAAUUUCCUGUGUAGCGGUGAAAUGCGUAGAUAUAGGAAGGAACACCAGUGGCGAAGGCGACCACCUGGGCUAAUACUGACACUGAGGUGCGAAAGCGUGGGGAGCAAACAGGAUUAGAUACCCCCGUAGU
rnacentral:rRNA from 1 species